UUUCAGUGCGACAGCCUCAGAGCUGAUGGAGAGACAGAGAGCAAGCAACUGGAUAAAUUCAUAGACGUGGAAUUCCUGGAUAAAAUGGUCACCAAUUAUUUCAGCAUCAUUUGUUGAGUAAUCCAACCUUCUUCCACUGGUUUGAAAUGGCAACAACUGUUCUCCCAUUAGAUAGGGUGUAGCUUUCCACAGGUCGGCCAUUUUCUCUCUGCUCAAGAUGGUUACAUUCUGCAAUAGUACUCCUACCUUCUUGCAGCUUCCGGUAACAUACUAAAGCAUCAUGUUAAUUCUCUUGCCUUUCAAGAAUCCUAGGCACACACAUUUUAGGGCAAUGAUUUUCAAACAGGAUUUUCUUCAUUUCAAAUAUUUAAAAAUGGUAUUUUUGUUACAUGCUUUUUACAAAUUAAAAUUGAGGAAACCAAAUAUCUAAAACCACUGUUCCAGAUGUGCUAUUCCUCUUGGACACCCUUGACAUCCCAAUUGUGUGUGUAAAAAAAACACUCCCAGGAUAUUAACAGAGACUUGCCUGGAAACAGACUUGUGCCCGCAAUGUACAAUCUCACCCACUAAUGCCCACGUUGGCCACAUGGUGCAAACAACAUAUUUGCCCCUACAGCCCACAGAUUUCCCACAGUGCACAGACUUGUCCUACGGCACACAGAUGCGCCCCAAGCCACACAGACAAGCACCACAGCAGAAAGACUUGCCGCAGAGCACAUGCACACUCCCUAUACCACUAGACUCUCUCAGAGGCACACGUUCUCCUCAACGCAGAGGCUCACCUGAGAAACAUUGACCCACGUCACAUAACAAAAGCUAACCCCCCGGCAAAGACUCUACCCAUGACCCACAGACAAUCUCAGCAUCACAGACUGUCCCCACAUCACACAGACCCUUCCCAGGGCACACAGAACAUACAGACUCACCUCAUAGAACACAGAUUCUCCAGAGAGCACACAUAUUUUCAAGGCCAAAAGACUCACCUCAUAGCACACAGAUUCUCCCCAAGAUGCACAGAUACUCCCCAUAGCACACAGAUUCUUCCCACAGUGCACAGAUUCUCCCCAUGACAAACAGACUCUUCCUAUGCCCCACUGACUAAACCUAUAGUUGAAACUCUCCCCAGGGCAUACAGACCCCUCUCACAUUCCAUUGACCCUCACAAGAGCAAACAGCUUUGCCCCACAACACACAGACUCUCACCACAGAACAAAGUCUCUACUCACAGCACACAGAUUCACCCUAGAGCAUGCAGACUCUCUCCACAAAUACUUACCCCACAGUGCUUUCUUUACCCUACAACAUCUGGACCUCCUCCCAAACACACAGUUAUCACACAACACACAUUGUGGUCCUAUAUUAUGAAAAUAUACCUCAAUUUCCUCAGAUAUACUCUGUGAUAAAUAGACAUACCUCACAAUGCACAACAUGACAUCACAUCAUGAAAAUUGGCUCUACAAUGGGCAGACUUGUUCCACUGCAGCACUUUCUCUAAAGUAUUCAGACCCGUCCCUUAGGGCACAGUCACAGAUGUGAUACACAAUACUCUUACUUAUCCCACAACAUAGAUGCAACCCACAAAAUACAAACACAUCUCACAGCACAAUACUCCACCCCCCAUAGUGCUCAGAAUUGUGUCACAACACACACUUGCCACACAGAUUUAUUUCACAAAAACCUCACUUCUUACAGUGGUUAUACAGUGCAAACACAUGCCCCAAAACACAUGAAACCAUCUGCUGUACCAACUUUCAGAUUUACUCCAAAGCACAGAGACUAUUUUCACUCCUCACACUGCUGCUUACAAAACAAGAUAUGCCCAACCAUGCACAGAACUCCACCAAAAUGCAGGUUCUUCCAUCAAUAUACAGACUUGCCUCAUGACUCACACAAACAUCACUGAACACCAAGACUCACCCUAAAUGCACAGACAAGCCCUUAAGGGCACAGUCUUACCCCAUAACAUACCCAAUCACACCCACAACAGUUAGACAUGCCUUAGGAUUCACAGGCAUGCCUGUAAGCACAUAGAUUCCUUCCACAAUGCACAGAA